rnacentral:lncRNA from 1 species
GGCAACAUGCUCAGGUCUCUUACCACGCUGUGGAAGCUUUGUUCUUUCGCUCUUUGCAAUGAAUCCUGCUGCUGCUCACUCUUUGGGUCCACACUGCCUUUAUGAGCUGUAACACUCACUGUGAAGGUCCGCAGCUUCCCUCCUGAGCCAGCGAGACCAGGAACCCACCAGAAGGAAGAAACUCAGAACACAUCCCAACAUCAGAAGGAACAAACUCCAGACGCGCCACCUUAAGAGCUGUAACACUCACCGCGAGGGUCUGCGGCUUCAUUCUUCAAGUCAGUGAGACCAAGAACCCACCAAUUCCGGACACACCAAGUCCUGAGUUCAGAAUUUUGUUUUUGAGAUGAACAUAAAAGCACCUAAAGGUCAAGGAAGAUGUUCUUCCUGUGAUAAGGAACACAAAGCCUGUUUGGUGGUCUCUUCACACGGAAGCGCAUGACACUUCGCUUUAGUGUAGAUGACCACUCCCCUCUGUAAGGUAGGGAGGAAGAAUGUUCGGUUAGUUCCUUUCCUCCGGCCGAUCUCUUUUUUUUCUUCUGGCACGGUCCAACAGACACUCCUGGCACUUGGCUUCCCGGGGGCUGCUCGCCCCCGGCCCAGAGGCCGGUUUCCAGCGGCAGGCCUUAUUCCACCAUCUUUGCAGCUUCCAAUUCUUUUCAUGUUAAGUUGUUUUUUGGAGAGAUAUAUAAAUUUAUUUUGGUCAGUAUUUGUCUUAUAUCUCUUUUUCCAAAUUCUUUAUGUUCCAAUUUUUGGGGUAGUAUUGUUUUAAGUGUCUCUUACAUACUAUAUCUAGAUAUAUCUUUACUCUGAGAAUUUUUUAAGAGGCAGUUUAAAACCGUUACCUGUACUACAACUGCAAAUAUACUUGAAUUUAUUUCUUUUAUAUUAUUUUGUGUUUGCAAUUUAAUAUUAUCUUUGUUUCUCUUCUUAUAUCCAAUUGUGUAGGUGAAGUUUUCUUUGUUUCAUUUCCCUCUGUUUGUUUAAAAAGUUGUAUUUUCUGGCCUGGUGCGGUGGCUCACCUGUGUAAUCUCAGCACUUUGGGACGCCGAGGCAGGCAGAUCACCCGAGGUCAGGAGUUUGAGAUCAGCCUGGCCAAUGUGGUGAAACACUGUCUUUACUAAAAAUAUAAGAAUUAGCUGGGCAUGGUGGCGAACACCUCUAAUCCCAGCUACCCCUUUAGGCUGAGGCAUGAGAAUCACUUGAACCCAGGAGGAAGAGAUUGCAGUGAGGCGAUGCCACUGCCCUCCAGCCUGGGAGACAGAAGACUGUGUCUCAAAAAUUUUCCAUUUCUAUAUUUAUAAUAUAUAAUAACAUAUAAUAAUUAUAAUAUAUAUAGUAUAUACAUAAUAUAAAUAUAAUAUAUAAUAUGAUAUAAUAUAUAAUCUAUAUUAUAAUUUUCCAUUUCUAUAUUUAUAUCCUAUGUUCUAUAAUUACAGUUAAUGAAAAUUUAAGAUUUUUUUCUAGUUAAACAUAAAGCUAUUCUGUACCUCAAUCUUCCUCACAAAUAUGACAAAAUAGUUGAAAUACUUUUUCUUUUCACUCUCAUCUUACCUUCUAACUUCCAAGUUUAUUUUCCAGCUCAUAACUGAUGAUACUCAAUUUUGUAAUAAUUUUUAAUAACGAUACACAUUUAGAUUCACUAAUAUUUGUUUACUAAUUUCUUUGCUUACCAUUAAUUCUUUACACACACACACACACACACACACACUCUUUAUUUAUUUUGACACAGGGUCUCGUUCUUUUGCCCACGCUGGAGUGCAGUGGCGUGAUCUCAGCUCACUGCAGCGUUCACCUCACGGGCUCCGGCGAUUCUCCCACCUCAGCCAUCCCAGUGGCUGAGACUAGAGGUGUGCAUCACCAUGCCUGGCUAAUUUUUGUAUUUUUGGUAGAGAUGGGGUUUCAUCUUGUUGGCCAGGCUGGUCUCAAACUCCUGGGCUCAAAGAGAUCCACCUGCCUCUGCCUGCCAAAGUGCUGGGAUUACAGGUGUGAGCCCCCAUGCCCAGCUACCACAUAUUAAUUCAUUCUUUAGACUUCUUUUUUUUUCUCUUGAUAGAGUCCAUUCUAAGUUGUUCUGUCAGUGAAACUCUGUUUAAAACAUGGCUUGUAUGAAGUUGUCAGGAAUCGGCUCUGACACUUGGAUGAUUCUUCAGCUGGCUAUAAAAUUCUAAAAUCAGAGUAACCGUGUAUUGACUUCCAACAUUCCACAUUUCCAAAGGUGUUUCCUGUGAUCUCUGGGAUCCUGAUCCGCACCACUCAACUUUGGCCUCCUAAACUUCAUCCUUGACCCCACCCCAGGUAGGAAGGAUGUGUGGAUAUUUCUUUUAUCUUUCUGCAACGAUGACCUUUUGGAGAAAAAGAAAGGAAGCAGGUAAGAUAAACAUUGCUUUAUCCAUUAUGUAUCAAGCACUGUGCUUGAUGAUUUACAUUAUCUUCAUCCUUUCAACCAAUACUGGAGGAAGAUGAUAUUCAUCUUUAAAAUAUAUCAAACAUGCUCAGCUUUAUUUCCCAAUAAAUGUGAAAUGAUUAAGGUCCUAUAAUCUGAUUAAGAUAUCAAGAUUAAUCAAAUUUUUUAAACAAAAUUCGCAUUUUAUUUAGAUUGAUAUAAAUUAUAGUUUAUUUUCUUCACCAAAAAAUAACUGCAAUAUUUUCCGUAUUUUUCUAGAUAAGCCAAUACACUUAUAUUUGUAGGUUUUCCGGGUUUUUCUUAUAAAUCAAGAUGAGGCAAUAGGUAAGAGUCAUGAAAA